rnacentral:rRNA from 1 species
GGCUUAUUGAUAAUAAUUUUAAGUCUAUCUGCCCAAUGAUAUUAUAAUUAAAUGGCUGCAGUAUAAUUAACUGUACAAAGGUAGCAUAAUCAAUUGUUUUUUAAUUGAAAACUAGAAUGAAAGAAUUAAUGAGAUAUAUACUGUCUCAUAUAUAUAUAAUGAAAUUAAAUUUUUAGUAAAAAUGCUAAAAUAGAUUUAUGGGACGAUAAGACCCUAUAGAAUUUUAUAUUUAUAUUUAGAUUUAAAUUUAUUUUAAAUAUAAAUAUUUAAUUGGGAGGAUUAAUAAAUUUAAAUAACUUUAUUUAGAAUAAAACCUUUAAUUAAAGAAUAAUUUUUGAUCUUUUAUUAUAAAUUAAAAGAAAAAAUUACCUUAGGGAUAACAGCGUAAUAUCUUUUUAAAGAUCAUAUUAAUAAAGAUGAUUGCGACCUCGAUGUUGAAUUAAGAUAAAUUUUAAAUGGAGAAGUUUAAUAAUUAAGUCUGUUCGACUUUUAAAAUCUU